rnacentral:rRNA from 1 species
AGAAUCAACGCUGGCGGCGUGCCUAACACAUGCAAGUCGCACGAGAAAGGGACUUCGGUCCUGAGUACAGUGGCGCACGGGUGAGUAACACGUGAAUAAUCUACCUCCGAGUGGGGAAUAACUGAGAGAAAUCUUAGCUAAUACCGCAUAACACUUACGAGUCAAAGCAGCAAUGCGCUUGGAGAGGAGUUCGCGGCAGAUUAGUUAGUUGGCGGGGUGAUGGCCCACCAAGACGAUGAUCUGUA